rnacentral:misc_RNA from 1 species
UCAACCCUCAAGCCUGGCUUGUUAUUGGGUCUAGAUCCCUCUUUUCGAAGAAGGAUCGGCCUGAAAGAUAAUGGCGGUGUCACUAAAUGACUCCUGGUGCAGCGAGCUUUUUUUAACUAGCAUACACUGGAAAGUCUUUAAUGAAACCUCGCCUGAAAAUCUCCAUUUUCUUCAAGG